GUCGCCAGAAUGAGAAAAGCUAAG
rnacentral:piRNA from 1 species